AACGAACGCUGGCGGCAGGCUUAACACAUGCAAGUCGAACGGAUCCUUCGGGAUUAGUGGCAGACGGGUGAGUAACGCGUGGGAACGUACCCUUUGCUACGGAAUAACUCAGGGAAACUUGAGCUAAUACCGUAUGUGCCCUACGGGGGAAAGAUUUAUCGGCAAAGGAUCGGCCCGCGUUGGAUUAGCUAGUUGGUGGGGUAAUGGCCUACCAAGGCGACGAUCCAUAGCUGGUCUGAGAGGAUGAUCAGCCACACUGGGACUGAGACACGGCCCAGACUUCUACGGGAGGCAGCAGUGGGGAAUAUUGGACAAUGGGCGCAAGCCUGAUCCAGCCAUGCCGCGUGAGUGAUGAAGGUCUUAGGAUUGUAAAGCUCUUUCACCGGUGAAGAUAAUGACGGUAGCCGGAGAAGAAGCCCCGGCUAACUUCGUG
rnacentral:rRNA from 1 species